rnacentral:rRNA from 1 species
GAUGAACGCUAGCUACAGGCUUAACACAUGCAAGUCGAGGGGCAGCAUGAACUUAGCUUGCUAAGUUUGAUGGCGACCGGCGCACGGGUGAGUAACACGUAUCCAACCUGCCGAUGACUCGGGGAUAGCCUUUCGAAAGAAAGAUUAAUACCCGAUGGCAUAGUUCUUCCGCAUGGUGGAACUAUUAAAGAAUUUCGGUCAUCGAUGGGGAUGCGUUCCAUUAGGUUGUUGGCGGGGUAACGGCCCACCAAGCCUUCGAUGGAUAGGGGUUCUGAGAGGAAGGUCCCCCACAUUGGAACUGAGACACGGUCCAAACUCCUACGGGAGGCAGCAGUGAGGAAUAUUGGUCAAUGGACGAGAGUCUGAACCAGCCAAGUAGCGUGAAGGAUGACUGCCCUAUGGGUUGUAAACUUCUUUAUACGGGAAUAAAGUGAGGCACGUGUGCCUUUUUGUAUGUACCGUAUGAAUAAGGAUCGGCUAACUCCGUG